rnacentral:rRNA from 1 species
CGUAAAGCGUGCGCAGGCGGUUAUGUAAGACAGAUGUGAAAUCCCCGGGCUCAACCUGGGAACUGCAUUUGUGACUGCAUGGCUAGAGUACGGUAGAGGGGGAUGGAAUUCCGCGUGUAGCAGUGAAAUGCGUAGAUAUGCGGAGGAACACCGAUGGCGAAGGCAAUCCCCUGGACCUGUACUGACGCUCAUGCACGAAAGCGUGGGGAGCAAACAGGAUUAGAUACCCG